rnacentral:rRNA from 1 species
UACGUAGGCAGCGAGCGUUGUUCGGAGUUACUGGGCGUAAAGCGUGCGUAGGCGGUUGUCUAAGUUUGGUGUGAAAUCUCCUGGCUUAACUGGGAGGGUGCGCCGAAAACUGGGUGACUGGAGUGUCGGAGAGGUAAGCGGAAUUCCUGGUGUAGCGGUGAAAUGCGCAGAUAUCAGGAGGAACACCGAUGGCGAAGGCAGGUCUCUGGGCAUUAACUGACGCUGAGGAGCGAAAGCAUGGGGAGCGAACAGG